GAUGAACGCUGGCGGCGUGCCUAAUACAUGCAAGUCGAGCGAACGGACGAGAAGCUUGCUUUUCUGAUGUUAGCGGCGGACGGGUGAGUAACACGUGGAUAACCUACCUAUAAGACUGGGAUAACUUCGGGAAACCGGAGCUAAUACCGGAUAAUAUUUUGAACCGCAUGGUUCAAAAGUGAAAGACGGUCUUGCUGUCACUUAUAGAUGGAUCCGCGCUGCAUUAGCUAGUUGGUAAGGUAACGGCUUACCAAGGCAACGAUGCAUAGCCGACCUGAGAGGGGGGCCGGACACAGUGGAAAUGAGACACGGGCCAGACUCCUACGGGAGGCAGAAACAGGGAAUCUGCCGGACUGGGCGAAAGGCAGACGGACGAACCGCGGGUGAGUGUUGAAGGUCUUCGGACCGUAAAACGCUGUUUUUGGGGAAAAACAGUUGGGAAAGUAACUGGGAACAUGUUGGGGGUACUAAAGCAAAAACCCCGGGCAAACAAGGG
rnacentral:rRNA from 1 species